AAUCAGGAUGUGUUAAUCAGGAUUUGUUAAUCAAUGCCGUUUGGCAAGCUGUGUGACCAGUGGUGCUGUCAACAAUAAUAUCUUCAUAAUUACACUGAGUGCCUGUGCAUUGAAGUUCUCAACAUUAAAUACAGUUGAAGAAAAGAUUCCUAGGAAUAUCAGAUUUCAAGUUGGUCUCAGUCUUGAAGACGUAACUUGACACAACCUCAGAAGGACAGAUUCUUGGUCUUCUUACUCAAUGACAAAAGAGGAUAGUUUUUCUCAGACCAGUGACACCAGAUUGUGCUUCUCAUUGGGCAGGACGGCCCUGGGCUUUCCUUAGUCUGGGAAAUAAAGUCCUCCUCUUCAUGCCAUCUGUUGGGAAGAAGAGGAGGAGGAGAGUUGAACUGUUCUCCACAAGUGCAUAUCUGGUCCUCCUGUGAAGCUUGACUUACUGUUGUACAGGGAGAUGCAUUCUCAACACUCCAAGUGAGGGUUUGCGCAUAGAUUUUAUGAGAAAAUAUAUGUGAAACAUUCAAGAGAACUUCAAGAACAAAAGACAUGGUCUCUUCAUGAUGGAAGUGCAUGCUAUGGAAUCAUCUCACAAUGCCCUGACUGUUCUGGAUACCGGUUCUUGGAUGUUAAGUGGUCACUGAACUAAUGGACUGGAUCUAACUUGCAGAGUGCUUUCCCUUGUUUUCCGAUUGCCAUGUCGGAUCACGUUACGUCAGCUUGGGGAAAUUUCAACAUGUCCAAUGCCACGCUCCCUCCUUGUGGAAAAAUGGUUGCUAAUAUGUGGAUGUUUGGUAUAUGGAGCUGCUAGCGAAACUGAUGGCAAGAUAUACAGAUGUCUAGAGUGUGUUGAAGGACACUUUAUAUUUGGUGCAAAGCAUCAUUCAAGUUGAAGAUUGCUAAGCAAUAUGGAAGCAGGAUGUCCUAUGCUAAAUACUAGGUUUUUUAACUUUUCAAAAUUAGUAACAUGGGUAUGUUAGUGAAUAUGUACACAUCAUUCAGCUCCCAUUGGAAAACACUUUUUUCAGUUUUAAAGUAAGAAUCUGCAAUUCUAUUUUUCUUGAGUGUUUCUUUUUUCAGAAUGAACAAAUUCAGGUCGUCAAAGUCAAUCCACAAAAAUCAAUGCCAAAAUUGCCUUAUGUCAACUAGUGCUAAGUAAGAAGAUUUACAACCUAUUUUGGAAUAUCAAUGUAGAUAUCAAACCAGUUUGAACAUUGCUAUGGUUUCAAGUGAACUUGUUGUUUUCAAGAUGAAAUUGCAUUGUUCAUGUAAGUGACACUUUUUACCCGGAAUUCUAUCAAAAUAUCUUUCUAUUUGUUCAUAUUCACGAACAGCCAAAAUAUUUAAGAUGAAAUCAGACGUGAUGCUAAUACUUGUGCCUAAAUUCACAAAUACUAAAAUAUAUAUAUUUUAUAGUUCAGGAAACUGUAUUAAAAUUCUUCCAGAUUUCAUAAGAGCACAUGUAUUAAUUGUUCUGUGAAAUGUUUCCCUGUGAAUUGUCCAGCUUUGUUUCAAGGCUCUUGCAACAUUCUAGAUUUCACCAAAGGGAGAUUACUCUCAAGACACCAGGAGAUAACUCCUUAUCCUCACCAAGUAACAAGGCUAUUUUCUGCAUAAGUGUUAUUAUUUGCUUAAUACUCAGAUCACGGAUUAUUAUUUUAUUUAUACUUAUGUUGGUUUUGGUUUGUUUUUUUAUCUGUCUAAUGUUGAAUCUAUGUUUCUUCAUAUCGGAUUACUAGAUAAUGAGAUUAUAAUCACCAGAGAGAAAUAACUCUAACUUCAUGAUGGAUCAAAUAGGCCAAAUUAUUUUUGAUAUAAAAUUGAUCUCGGAAUUUAAUCAAAAUUGUCCAUUUUUUAGCUUAAUAACAAUUUUUAUGUAGGUUUUCUUUUGAUCAUAGUUCAGGAUACCUUAAAGUUGUAAAGUUUUAUAUGGGAGACAGUUCAGUCCCCUUGCAAUUUAUUCAAGAAACUAACACAGUUUCAGUUUUCUUAUAUCUAACUUAUCAGCAGUUAUUUAAAAAAUAAUAAAUUAUAGUUUUGUAUGAACCACAGCUUUUACAGAUUUUUGAUUGCCAGAUUCCCUGUCUGACUUGUUUAUGUUUAUCUGAGAUUUGUGAUACAUUAUAAGUGCUAUGAAUAUAUGUACAUCAGGUGGCUCUCUAUAUAUCACCUGUGUGAUGGAAUAUACUAUUAUCUUCACAACUGUGAUCACAAGUUCUGUUAUUUUCAUAUCUGCAUGCAAGUGUAAUUUUCUUAACUCCGUUUAAUUUCACUUUGUGUGUGUGUGAUCACUCAAACGACAAUAAUCUCAUCCGGAUGUCCACAGUAAAGAAAUGUUAAUUUUUUAUGGUUUUUACACUAGCCAGAUCGAUGUGUGUCCUUUAGGUUAACUAGACUAGGCAAGACAGGUUUUAUAUCAAUCAUACUCCAUGACAUUAUGGAAGAAUCGAAGGCCGAUUGUGGUGCUUUGUGAACUUGUACAGAGAAUUUCUAUGAUGUCAAGCACCAGCAAAACGCCUAAUCAUCAGUUUGCACAAUGCAUAAUGUUAUGUGACAUACAAGCCAUGUUCAUGUGUGCGAGAGUGUGCCAUUAAUAGACUUCUGUGAUACAGUUUAUUCAGGAUUUGCCACAGAAGGACAGCAAAGUCACGCCCAAUUUAUUGUGUUCUCUCUAUUUACAAAAACAGAUGUCUAUAUCUCAGAAAUCUGGGAAAAAAAUCAAUUUUUUAAAAUAAGCUAAUUGUAAUGGCAAUGAAAAUCAUGAGAAGUCACCAGAACCAUACACAAAUUUGUAAGAUUUAAAAUACUUGGAGGUUGUCAGAAACCUUUUCAUUGUAUAGUUAUCUGUUACACUUUUGAUGGAGAUAUUGUCCAGUGUCUAUUUAAAUAGAAUGACAUAUAAGAUUAUCCUUAUCAAAAUGUGUGUAGUGUAUAAACCAGAAAUCAUACUGGUGAAAACAUUAAGGGUUGGUUACAUUUCAAACUGCAAAACACAGGGUCUCAUUGCAAUGAGUGUUAAAACUAAAAUAACAUUGCAGAAGAAGUUUAAAGUUCUUCAGUGUCAUUGUUGAGGCCACAGAACAAAAAGAUUUUUGCUUAUAGCAAACUCUGAAGGGUUUUUAUUUCAUAUUAAGUUCAAGUUUAUUUCCAGUUCUGCAUUUUAUAUGUCCAUUCCAAAGAUUUAUUUUGUAAAGCUUUUACUAAUGACAGCAAUGUUUUUUUGUUAUUUUUCAAAUCAGGGCAUUAUUUUUUGCAACAGUUGUCAAUGUGGGUUGUAUUGUUUGGGAAAUAUCAGAAAAUAUAUAUUAUAUUUGUAUAUACCAACCAUUUUCUUUAAAUAAGUCAUAUAAAUACAAUAGCUUCUCUUUAUAUGGUUUUACCUAUGCCCUGUAGUGAAUGCAGAAAAGUGACCAUAGCAGUCUGAAGAUUCAGAAACACAGAUUACGGAUUUUUGGCUUCAGAAAUGUCUAUAGGUUGAUGACAAAAACAUACAUGUCAAAUGCAUUAUUCUAUUUCAACAAAAUGUGAAGUAGGUAGAGGGGAACAUGAGCAUAGGAUUCCAUGUGUUUUGAAAUUUCCAAGGUUUUAAUUCCACAUUAAUUAAAUCCACUUUUAAUUUUAGCAGGAAGUUUUGAUAGUACAUGUGGGGUGUUUUUAACAUUUUAUUUUUUUCUUGUUGACGGAAUGUAAAGAUAUUCUUCUUUUCAUUUUUCAGAGUCGGCAGAUUCAUAAACAAAGUUAUAGAAAAAUGUGUGGCAAUAUGUGACUGCAAGUGACUCUGCUAUGUUUUUGUGGCUCAUCCCAUCCUUCCAUAUACCCAGUUUCUGUGACGAGCGAUGAAAGAUAACACAAUCACAGAGUCUGUGUGUUUAUAUGCGAAAAUGUAAUAUACACAAUUGUGAUUCCAGACAAAUAUUUUAUACUUGUAGUUUUAUAACUAAUUGUCAAUAAUGAACAACCAUGUGUAUGUGUAGGGGCCAAACUGUCACUGCUAAUAUAAACACCACGAGGCUCACCUCACAUGGCCAGAGAGCUGCCAAAAUAUGGAGAAUUAUUUCAUCGAACAAAUCGCAUAUUCAGGCACUGUGACUGCUCAAGUUAUGGGGAACUGUUUCUUUAGUCUGAGGUCGAUAACAAGCCUGAAAUACAGAACCAGGAAUGAGAUUGAAUGUAUUCCACAUAUAUCCUUAUCAUUCCACACUUUGCAAGUUGAGGCUGGAAUCGGGAAGAGGUUGAUGACAAUAAUGGUGAAGUAUUGGCUGCAGGGCAGGUUCAGGGCCAUUUGUGACUGCCAAGUUCCGGUUCAUAAGCACAUUUUUUGCUUAAAAUAUGUGAAUAUAUCACAGUAACCUUUGCAAAUUCAAGUUGUAAACAAAUACGAGUGAAAAAGUUCAAAAUCAAGCACAACAAAAUUAUAUGUAAUUAUUCGAUUUAGCCAGAGACCAUAUAAUAUUUAUAUGGUUGCUGAUGUAACCUUUUCAGUUUGCCUCCCUGAAUAUCUUAACUCAUCUUUAUUUAUGGAUCACAUACAGGCAUCAUCCUUAUAUGAAUUCUACUGCAGCGAAUAAUGCACAAAAGUGCUGCCUCUCACUUAGUUUAUCUGACCUGUAUCCAUGUUGUGAGCUUCUAUGACAGACUCAUUUUGGGCAGCACAUGAAAGAAUAGUUAACUGAAACAGCAUUUUAAGAAGUUUUUGUAAAAUGUCUGCUUGGUUUAAAGUACCCAUAAGGCUGGACCCUUGGGAGUAAAAUGUACACAGUACCAAAUACCCAACGCGAGUAGUAAUGUUUUCAUCACUGGGCUGAUUGUUCAGUCAAUUGAUCUGGAAGCCAGAGGAUGAGGUUACUUUGUUAAUAUAACCGUUCAUCAUCUGAUAAAACUAUUCACCUAAAGAGCAUUAAUUUUAAAUCUGCAGUAACACAGAUUUACUGAUUAGGUUGAAAUGUUAACUAUUUCUGGCAAUUCUUUAAGGUUAAAAUAUACAACAUUUAACUUGACACUGAAAUAGUGUUGUCCAGGAUUUAGCACGAGGAUUCAUCCCUAUGACAUUACCUGAGCAAAGACUAUGAGCAGAAACAGUUUCAUUUCUGGGUACAAAUCGGCUCAUAGGUCAUGGGUAUCAUCCUCGAUAAUAUAGGGUAAUAUUUUCCUUUCCAUUAUAAUAUACAUUCUGGAUCCAUUUAGCACCUUGGCCAGCUCAAUCUCUCGUCACGGUCAUAACAGAAUUUCUGUCCCUCAAAAUGCCACUUUGGACAAGUUUACCAUAGAUUGCAGUUACAAACUGGACUAAUAUGAGCAAGAUGUUAUCUAGCCUACUCAAAACGAAGUUAAAGAACACUUGAUUGUUUCCCUAUGACUAUAGUUAAUUCACAAUCUCAGAUUCUUUACAGUUAAAAAGGACUCACUAUUCUUUUCAAAUGAGUAGAAAAAUUUAUCAAAUCUGAAGACUGAACUGAGCAAAUGUCUGCUAGAAAAAAUAGUUUCCUGAGAACUAGAACAAGGGAGAGACAUUGCUACCAGACAUUCUGGUUGUAUUUGACAUGGCAUGCCAAGGUGGAGAUAUCACUCCUUGGUUCAAGCACAACACAGUGGAAGUUGAUUGGAUGUCUAUUUUUGGCAUUCUGUCAUUCCAACAAGCUGUGAUGUUAAACAGGUCCAGGUGUUAAUUAUAACAGACAGGAUAUUAGUUCUCAAAUAAGUUCAGGAACAGCUAAUUCUUUCAUAUCACUAUCGUUUUUCUGCCCAUGAUGAAAUGUAGUAAUGUGAAAGAAUUGUCAACUUCUUUAUAAUACACUUGGCGCUAUAAUGGGAGGUGCACCAAUAUGCCAUACAGACUUAUAUUGACAGGGGAAUACGUGGGUUUCUCCCCAUGACUUGAGCACUGGUCAGUGGGUGGUUGUAGGGGCCAUGGGACAUAAUCAUAUGCAAGCUUCAGUGCAGCAAGACCAUCGUUUUACACCUGUGAGUGAGUGAGUGAGUGAAUGUGUGAGAGGAUGCAGGCAUUUCAUACAGAUUGUUAUUAGUUUUCUGAGUGGAGAGAUUGAGUGGUUUAUGCAAAUCAUCUGUACAUUUUGGUCCUCAAUAAAAUGUUUGUUAUGAAGCAAA
rnacentral:lncRNA from 1 species